UAAUGACAAAGGCAAACUAUUCGAAAGGGUAGGACGCAAAGCCUAGGGACUAACGUAUUGGGUAAACUAUGUUCGCCUGGCUACCAAA
rnacentral:ncRNA from 1 species